rnacentral:rRNA from 1 species
UACAGAGGGCUCAAGCGUUGUUCGGAUUCAUUGGGCGUAAAGGGUGCGUAGGUGGCUUGGUAAGUCGGAUGUGAAAUCCCGGGGCUCAACCCCGGAACUGCAUUCGAUACUGCCAGGCUGGAGUACUGGAGAGGAGAUUGGAAUUUACGGUGUAGCAGUGAAAUGCGUAGAUAUCGUAAGGAAGACCAGUGGCGAAGGCGGAUCUCUGGACAGUUACUGACACUGAGGCACGAAGGCCAGGGGAGCAAACGGG